rnacentral:rRNA from 1 species
AACGAAUGCUGGCGGCAAGCCUAACACAUGCAAGUCGAACGGGUUACAUUUGUAGCUUGCUACAAAUGUAAUUAGUGGCAGACGGGUGAGUAAUGCAUAGGGAUCUACCCAGUAGUAUGGGAUAGCCACUAGAAAUGGUGGGUAAUACUGUAUAAUCCCCGCGGGGGAAAGAUUUAUCGCUAUUAGAUGAGCCUAUGUUAGAUUAGCUAGUUGGUAGGGUAAAGGCCUACCAAGGCGGUGAUCUAUAGCUGGUCUGAGAGGAUGAUCAGCCACACUGGAACUGAGAUACGGUCCAGACUCCUACGGGAGGCAGCAGUGGGGAAUAUUGGACAAUGGGCGCAAGCCUGAUCCAGCUAUGCCGCGUGAGUGAGGAAGGCCUUAGGGUUGUAAAACUCUUUCAGUAGGGAAGAUAAUGACGGUACCUACAGAAGAAGUCC